rnacentral:rRNA from 1 species
AUUGAACGCUGGCGGCAGGCUUAACACAUGCAAGUCGAGCGGGGGAAGGUAGCUUGCUACCGGACCUAGCGGCGGACGGGUGAGUAAUGCUUAGGAAUCUGCCUAUUAGUGGGGGACAACAUCUCGAAAGGGAUGCUAAUACCGCAUACGUCCUACGGGAGAAAGCAGGGGAUCUUCGGACCUUGCGCUAAUAGAUGAGCCUAAGUCGGAUUGGCUAGUUGGUGGGGUAAAGGCCUACCAAGGCGACGAUCUGUAGCGGGUCUGAGAGGAUGAUCCGCCACACUGGGACUGAGACACGGCCCAGACUCCUACGGGAGGCAGCAGUGGGGAAUAUUGGACAAUGGGGGGAACCCUGAUCCAGCCAUGCCGCGUGUGUGAAGAAGGCCUUAUGGUUGUAAAGCACUUUAAGCGAGGAGGAGGCUACUUUAGUUAAUACCUAGAGAUAGUGGACGUUACUCGCAGAAUAAGCACCGGCUAACUCUGCGCCAGCCGCCGCAGUAA